GCGCAGCAGUCGAGAAUUUUUCACAAUGGGGGAAACCCUGAUGGAGCGACGCCGCGUGGAGGAUGAAGGCCCUCGGGUCGUAAACUCCUGUCAUGCGGGAACAAGAAAGUGAUAGUACCGCAAGAGGAAGAGACGGCUAACUCUGUGCCAGCAGCCGCGGUAAUACAGAGGUCUCAAGCGUUAUUCGGAUUCAUUGGGCGUAAAGGGUGCGUAGGUGGCGAUGUAAGUCUGGUGUGAAAUCUCGGGGCUUAACCCCGAAACUGCAUUGGAUACUGCGUUGCUUGAGGAUUGUAGAGGAGAGUGGAAUUCACGGUGUAGCAGUGAAAUGCGUAGAUAUCGUGAGGAAGACCAGUUGCGAAGGCGACUCUCUGGGCAAUUCCUGACACUGAGGCACGAAGGCCAGGGGAGCAAACGGGAUUAGAUACCCGGGUAGU
rnacentral:rRNA from 1 species